GAUGAACGCUGGCGGCGUGCCUAAUACAUGCAAGUCGAGCGAACAGACGAGGAGCUUGCUCCUCUGACGUUAGCGGCGGACGGGUGAGUAACACGUGGAUAACCUACCUAUAAGACUGGGAUAACUUCGGGAAACCGGAGCUAAUACCGGAUAAUAUAUUGAACCGCAUUGUUCAAUAGUGAAAGACGGUUUUGCUGUCACUUAUAGAUGGAUCCGCGCCGCAUUAGCUAGUUGGUAAGGUAACGGCUUACCAAGGCAACGAUGCGUAGCCGACCUGAGAGGGUGAUCGGCCACACUGGAACUGAGACACGGACAAGAGUCCUACGGGAGGCAGCAGAAGGGAAUCUGACGCAAUGGGCGAAAGCAUGACGGAGCAACGCGGCGUGAGAGAUGAAGGUCUUCGGAUCGUAAAACUCUGUUAUUAGGGAAGAACAAAUGUGUAAGUAACUAUGCACGUAUUGACGGUAACUAAUCAGAAAGCCACGGCUAACUACGUG
rnacentral:rRNA from 1 species